rnacentral:lncRNA from 1 species
AGAUACUGAGAGUGGCGAGCUUCCUGGUAGGAUCGAUAUCUACCAGCGAAUCUACCAGUGACGGUCAGGGGAGUGGACGAUGGGGAGCCAGGAGCUCUUUAUAAGUUUUUUCAAUUAAUUUUUUAUUCAUAUUUUGACCUUUAUUAAAAAAUUAAAAUAACUCUUAAUUUUAUUUUCAGGAUUGUGUGAUCAACAUGAGAUCCCAGUCUAUCCCUGAGGGCUCGACCGCACCCACAAAUGAUGAGAUCUGUGAUCAGGUGCUCGGUACGAGACCCUGUUAUGUUAGGGGUCUAGGAUAUGGGACCAUUGCUCCUUCAUCUUCAUGAUCAUCUAAGGCUG